rnacentral:rRNA from 1 species
CAGCAGCCGCGGUAAUACGUAUGUCACAAGCGUUAUCCGGAAUUAUUGGGCGUAAAGCGCGCGCAGGCGGAUAGGUCAGUCUGUCUUAAAAGUUCGGGGCUUAACCCCGUGAUGGGAUGGAAACUGCCAAUCUAGAGUAUCGGAGAGGAAAGUGGAAUUCCUAGUGUAGCGGUGAAAUGCGUAGAUAUUAGGAAGAACACCAGUGGCGAAGGCGACUUUCUGGACGAAAACUGACGCUGAGGCGCGAAAGCCAGGGGAGCGAACGGGAUUAGAUACCCGCGUAGUCCCUGUCUCUUAUACA